UACUAUUUUAUUUUUUCAUUUCUCUAGUGUUACUAUUUUUGGAUUCAUUGUCAAUCAAUGAAGUAGUGCUUUUAACUAUUAACAGAUGAACUCCUUUAGUGCUCUCAGAAGGAAAACUACAAGUUAAUUGUAUAGGGGCUGUUGAAUGCAACGAAAUAAACAAUGCCAAAGAUGCAAAUGAUUUUGGUGGUGCACAUCCUGAUUCAAAAUGCCCAAAUGCUGCACACAGUUAUUUAUCACAGUUAUUUAUCACAGUUAAUUAUCGGUUAAUAAAAAACGAUGGAAUUUCACCCGAUUCAAUUUAUUUG